GCGCCUAUUGGCUGCGGGCGGGGCGAGGGGCGGUUCUCAGCCCCAGUGUGUGGCGCGAUUGGAUAGGCUCCGGGACACGGCUGGGAGGAGCCAUCUUGAGAGCGGGAAGGAUGUCGAAAUGCCACACGCGUCCGCCAUCUUGAUUGGGGGCAGGGCAUGAAAUAACCUCAUCGGGAGCCAUCUUGAGUACGGGCAAGGGCGCCAACGCGCACAUUGCGUUAUCAUCCGUGGCGCGGCCCGGCGCCUUGCAGCCUCCUGCGCGGAGAGCGGCCGCUGCCAUCUUGGCUACGGGUAGAGAAGCCGCGCACUGCUGUCAGCCGCCAUCUCGAGCUACCCUGUCCUCUGAGUGCUGGUGAGGUCCUUGUCUUCCCUCCCUAGAUUGCACUGCUCUGUGAGAAGCUUCCUGAAGCACCUCCAGAGACCCAGGAGGAGAGGCUGAUUACUGCUUGUUGGAGCAGGCGAGCCAUUGCCAGCUGGCUGCAGGCUUUUAUUGGCUCUGUUUGAAGAAGACUUGAUUUAGAGCUCACAGUUCUGUUACAAGGACGGCAGCCAUGUAAUGCAGACCCUCAAGAGAAGACAUAAUUAGGACUCGGAUGAAAAAAUGUGUCCAGUUCUUUGGACCAAAAAGCUCUUGUUUAAGGAAUGUGGUUUACUGUAUGCUAACAUUUAACAUUUAACUCUGAGGGCUGGUUCGUGCAGUCAGCUCCGGCCCUCUCUCACACAGCUGGAUGUUGCUUUCUCUCAAAAUACAGACAUGCCACCCUGUAGCAAGUACAAAGUAUCUCGGGAACUGCAUUUCUGCAAGCAGGGAAGGAGAGGUGGAGCAGAACAGAGCAGAAGCGCUGAGAAGGCCGUGGCACAUUGCGGGGAGGAAAGGAACAAACGUGGCAGAGAACAGGAAGAACGAUGUGCUGGGAAAUGAUUAAUCCACCCCAAAGGCCCUCGCUAAGAAGUUGUGGGACAAGUUCAAUGGUUUUUGGCAGCCACGAGCAAUUUCUCCUCCACUCUCGGCCCCCUGCUUGCUCCUUUCAAGCCGACGUGCUCAAGCACAACUUCCUCUCGCUGCUGUCCCUCCAGCAGCGUCCCUCACCCCUUCUCUGCAGCUCUCUGGCAGCCCAUCCCCUCCUCUAUGCAUGUUUUACAGCUGUCCUGUGUCCCUCCACCUCCAAUAAGUGUUACUCAAGCAAGCAGGAACAAACAACCCAUGCUGGGGGAGGGGGUGGGAGCCAAGUUUAAGAACUGCUGCUCUGUAUCCUGUUUUUCAACCGGGAUUGUUCCAGUUUCCUGCACUGUCUUAUCUAGAGCUGAAAAGCCAAAGCUCUCAUAUUUACUUGCUUUGUGCAUGCCUCAGCUUUCUAAUCUGUGAAACAGACCUUAUGAGACAUAAGAGAAACACAUCCAGGACUAUUACAGGGUGGAGGGACAGGAACAGCGUGGUUAAAGGGCUUCCAGUGUCUGUACAAUUAGGCUCUUUAUUUAGUUCUCCUGCUUGCAUAAGCCUGCGUACAUCACAGAGAGUUUCAGACAACCACCCCCAUCCUGUAGUGCUGCAUGGAGUUCAUGGAAAUGUAAAAGGGUAAAGCAUGGAUAUUUAUGUCAGGUGAUUCUGGGUAGCAACCUUACUAAAGAACUGUUCUCAGAAAGGACUGAAUCUUUUCCCCACAACACAAACUAGGCACAGGAAAGUCUUAAAUAGGAAGCAGCAUUUCAAUGCUUGUAGUCAGCUUUAAGGGCUCCACUGAAAUGCUGCAGGCUUCUUUAAAAUACCUGACCACGUUUUUGUUGUUUAAUCCAUAGAGAAAAUAAGCAUAUAUUGCCUUAGCAUCUUGAAAGCUUACCGGUGCGGGGCCACGAGAGAGCAAAACAACUUUUUGUUCCCCUUCUUUCUCCUGCUUCUUUGGAGGUGCUCUCAACCAAUGUAAAUAAGAAAGCAGGGCUGGGCUGAAGAAGUACCCUCAUAUGAUUACCAGAG